GAUGAACGCUGGCGGCGUGCCUAAUACAUGCAAGUCGAGCGAACAGACGAGGAGCUUGCUCCUCUGACGUUAGCGGCGGACGGGUGAGUAACACGUGGAUAACCUACCUAUAAGACUGGGAUAACUUCGGGAAACCGGAGCUAAUACCGGAUAAUAUAUUGAACCGCAUGGUUCAAUAGUGAAAGACGGUUUUGCUGUCACUUAUAGAUGGAUCCGCGCCGCAUUAGCUAGUUGGUAAGGUAACGGCUUACCAAGGCGACGAUGCGUAGCCGACCUGAGAGGGUGAUCGGCCACACUGGAACUGAGACACGGUCCAGACUCCUACGGGAGGCAGCAGUAGGGAAUCUUCCGCAAUGGGCGAAAGCCUGACGGAGCAACGCCGCGUGUGUGAUGAAGGUCUUCGGAUCGUAAAACUCUGUUAUUAGGGAAGAACAAAUGUGUAAGUAACUAUGCACGUCUUGACGGUACCUAAUCAGAAAGCCACGGCUAACUACGUG
rnacentral:rRNA from 1 species